ACUAAAUUCCAACAACUUCACACUCGGUAAGCUAUUUUUAUAAACUAUUUAAAACAACGUACAAUUUAUGUUUGAGACCAGUAUUAGGUAUGUAGAUCUUAAUCGAACCUGCAGAACCUCUCUCGACUAAACUUUAAACAACCAGGAUAUUCGAAACGUGGCUGAUAAAAAUACUAUAUACUCAAUCAAACUCUCUUUACGAUCAGUUUCCCUCAGUCGAGUUCGUAACCUCGAAUCGAACGAGCACGCGACGAAAAGAGGCGAGGUUAGAGAGAUCGAGAGAGAUUGACCACCUGCUGCUGAGCGUGGCCCGAGCAACUAGAGCAAUGAAUUAUAACCUCGGAUCUCAUCGAGCUGUCGGCAGCUGCUGGACGGACGUUUCUUCUGUAUGGCAGAAAAAUUAAAACGUUCUGGAUUCCCCGACGCACACAGCGAUUGCGUCAGUGGCUGCAAGAUAGCACGAACGAUCGCGUGGAAUGAAGGAAACAUCCGCGUGACUACGUCAGACUGCUAGACAAGCCUGUACGCAUACCGACAUUUGUUUACAUCGCGAACGGUUGUUGCGGAUGCGCCUUUAUGUAUGUAUGUAUAUAGAGUCGGGCCAGUUAGGUUUGGUAAGCCUGUGUCGGGAUAUCUAUCUUUGGAUCCACGCACGAAGUACGCGCACACACUGGUCAUCUCUUACUCAAUCGUCUCACGCCUGUGCCGGUGACCAGUGACACCGUUAAACGCGACCAUUAUUUCGAAUGCGCCCCGCAGGUCGGAUAUUUCCGUGGUGACCGUAGAUAGACCCGAUGGAUCGGACCGUUAACGGCGAAACGCACUCCCGCAGUGGAACGCAUUACCACGUAUCCAAUGUUGUGCUAUCUUUUCGUCGCAGUGAAAUGCAUGCGUCAGUGAUUCUCAACUUUCGCCGGUUACGGCUGUUUUGUCAUGUUGGUUGAGGAGUGAUUAUGUUGGACAAUUUGACAGAAGAGUGAGCGAGUUUGACGAUUGUGACCUCGAUAAGAGAUACGACGAAAUAGCUGCGAGGAUUUGUAAAGAGGCGAUUUUAUUGCGCGAUCAUGUCGGUUUGGUAAAGUAGUUGGAAUCCAGAUAGAGAAAGAUGUGCUAGAAUAAUGUUCAAAAUAUGAACACUAUCUUUGAGGUGGAUUUUUAUAUAUAAAUAUGUUUACUGAAAAUAUAAUAAAACUUAGUAUAAAAAGUAAAUGACCUUCCAAGUUGAUACUUUUAGGGAUUCACAGCAUGUAAAUUCCAGGAAGCAUUUAGUUAAAUACGUAAGAUGCAUGUUUAAUUAAUUGCCAAUUAUUUGUAAUAGUACAACUCUGAGCAAGUAAAGCCUUAUAAAUAUUCCGAUAAAUGUCACAUUACGCUAAUUUCUUCCUCUUUCUAUGAAAUUGUAAACGAUGAUAAAAUCUAAUAUUUCUUAAGGAAUGAAAAUUUCUAAUUAAUGAGCAAAUCAAUUGUUAAAUUUUAGAAUUCUUUAUAGUUCUUUAAAUGAAUAGUGAGUACAGCCAUGGAAAAUACUUUGAAAAAAUAGGGAUUGAACGAAGUUGACGGUCGAGCGCCAUGGCUAUUGACAUAUUGUCAGGGCUAACAGAAGGCAGGUCGACCGGUGAGGUGUCGAAUCGCGAAGUGGACGUUACGAAACUGCAUAUGCAAGAUGUUUGCUAAAGCAGAGGUACACGAUAGUCGGCAGAACGCACGGAAGCUUUAAAAUUACCACUUACGCGUACUUGCGCUAACAGAUAAACGCCGUCCAGUAUUUACCGAUUCACGGUUCGGUAAAUACUUCGACGUCACUAAAAGUCAGUCAUGUACGCUCGCUUAUGUGUUGCAUGUAUAAACAGGUAACGACGUGGGGAAGUACUUACGUCAGAGUACUACAUCGGUGGAUUAAUUAUGGCGAUUAAAGAUUACAGAUGAUCACGGUGAAUUAAGAAAGGCAGGAACACGAAAAACACGCUCUGUUACGUAUAUCUCAUCACGGAUACGAUGAUUAAAAAUAAUCAUAAUUGCAAUCGAAAAGAUUAAGAUGAAUCUCUGAAGUUUACUACUAUCACGUGACGGCGAUAAUGUGUUCGUUGUAACUAAGACCUGAACGAUUUUCAUUCAAAAUUUAUGCUUUCGUUGAUGUUAAGGAGUAUUAUCAUAAGAAAAAAUUCCCUUUUUUUAAACUUCAGUUCUCUCUUCAAUGUAGUAACAAUUGCCGUAUAUGUAUGUGCUUCAAAUAAAAAUAAACGUGUGUUGAAAGGUU